rnacentral:misc_RNA from 1 species
UGGUUGCAAUAGAAAUCAUGC